rnacentral:tRNA from 1 species
UGGAAUGGCCGAGUGGUGAGGCAACGGUCUGCAAAACCGUGUACACGGGUUCGAUUCCCGUUUCCA